rnacentral:rRNA from 1 species
AGAGUUUGAUCCUGGCUCAGGAUGAACGCUAGCGGGAGGCUUAACACAUGCAAGUCGAGGGGCAGCAUAGGGUAGCAAUACUCUGAUGGCGACCGGCAAACGGGUGAGUAACGCGUAUGUAACCUACCCUGUACAGGGGGAUAACCCGGAGAAAUUCGGACUAAUAUCCCAUA